AUUGAACGCUGGCGGCAGGCCUAACACAUGCAAGUCGAACGAGUGGCGGACGGGUGAGUAAUGUCUGGGAAACUGCCCGAUGGAGGGGGAUAACUACUGGAAACGGUAGCUAAUACCGCAUACCCUCAGAUGUGCCCAGAUGGGAUUAGCUAGUAGGUGGGGUAACGGCUAACCUAGGCGACGAUCCCUAGCUGGUCUGCUAGUAUGACCAGCAACACUGGAACUGAGACACGGUCCAGAGCCCUACGGGAGUCAGCAGUGGGGAAUAUGGCACAAUGGGCGCAAGCCUGAUGCAGCCAUGCCGCGUGUAUGAAGAAGGCCUUCGGGUUGUAAAGUACUGUCAGCGGGGAGGCGUUACCCGCAGAAGGAGAACCGGCUAACUCCGUGCCAGCCGCCGCGGUAAUUC
rnacentral:rRNA from 1 species